UAAUGGCCUACCAAGGCGAUGAUGGGUAGCUGGUCUGAGAGGACGAUCAGCCACACUGGGACUGAGACACGGCCCAUACUCCUACGGGAGGCAGCAGUUAGGAAUUUUCCGCAAUGGGCGAAAGCCUGACGGAGCAACGCCGCGUGAGUGAUGAAGGCCCUAGGGUUGUAAAGCUCUUUUGUGCGGGAAGAUAAUGACGGUACCGCAAGAAUAAGCCCCGGCUAACUUCCUGCCAGCAGCCGCGGUAAUACGAAGGGGGCUAGCGUUGCUCGGAAUCACUGGGCGUAAAGGGUGCGUAGGCGGGUCUUUAAGUCAGGGGUGAAAUCCUGGAGCUCAACUCCAGAACUGCCUUUGAUACUGAGGAUCUUGAGUUCGGGAGAGGUGAGUGGAACUGCGAGUGUAGAGGUGAAAAUU
rnacentral:rRNA from 1 species